rnacentral:rRNA from 1 species
UACGUAGGGCGCAAGCGUUGUCCGGAAUUAUUGGGCGUAAAGAGCUCGUAGGCGGUCUGUUGCGUCUGCCGUGAAAUCCCGAGGCUUAACCUCGGGUCUGCGGUGGAUACGGGCGGACUAGAGGUAGGUAGGGGAGAAUGGAAUUCCCGGUGUAGCGGUGAAAUGCGCAGAUAUCGGGAGGAACACCAGUGGCGAAGGCGACUUUCUGGCCUGUUCUUGACGCUGAGGCGCGAAAGCUAGGGGAGCAAACGGG